UCGAGAGUUUGAUCCUGGCUCAGGAUGAACGCUAGCGGCAGGCUUAACACAUGCAAGUCGAGGGGUAUAGUUCUUCGGAGCUAGAGACCGGCGCACGGGUGCGUAACGCGUAUGCAAUCUACCUUUUACAGAGGGAUAGCCCAGAGAAAUUUGGAUUAAUACCUCAUAGUAUGUGAGAAUCGGCAUGGUUUUCACAUUAAAGUCACAACGGUAAAAGAUGAGCAUGCGUCCCAUUAGCUUGGUUAGGUAACGGUAACGGCUUACCAAGGCAACGAUGGGUAGGGGUCCUGAGAGGG
rnacentral:rRNA from 1 species